UACGUAGGGGGCAAGCGUUGUCCGGAAUCAUUGGGCGUAAAGCGCGUGUAGGCGGUUCGGUAAGUCCGCUGUGAAAGUCCAGGGCUCAACCCUGGGAUGCCGGUGGAUACUGUCGGGCUAGAGUACGGAAGAGGCGAGUGGAAUUCCCGGUGUAGCGGUGAAAUGCGCAGAUAUCGGGAGGAACACUAAUUGCGAAGGCAGCUCGCUGGGACGUCACUGACGCUGAGACGCGAAAGCGUGGGGAGCGAACAGG
rnacentral:rRNA from 1 species